AUGCUUUUAGCAGGAAUAUUAUUAAAGAUGGGAGCAUAUGGAUUGAUUCGGAUCAACAUGGAAUUGUUACCUCAUGCUCAUUAUCUAUUUUCGCCCUGGUUAGUAAUAAUAGGAGCGAUCCAAAUAAUCUAUGCAGCUUCAACUUCUCUUGGUCAACGAAAUUUCAAAAAAAGAAUAGCUUAUUCCUCUGUAUCUCACAUGGGUUUCAUAAUUAUAGGAAUUGGUUCCAUAACCAACAUUGGACUCAAUGGAGCUAUUUUACAAAUAUUAUCCCAUGGAUUUAUUGGUGCUACACUUUUUUUCUUGGCAGGAACCGCUUCUGAUAGAAUGCAUCUUGUUUAUCUCGAAGAACUGGGGGGAAUAUCUAUCCCAAUGCCUAAAUUUUUUACCAUUUUUAGUAGCUUUUCAAUGGCUUCUCUUGCCUUACCAGGAAUGAGUGGUUUUGUCGCAGAAUUAGUAGUAUUUUUUGGACUAAUUACUAGUCCAAAAUUUCUGUUAAUGCCAAAAACACUAAUUACUUUUGUAAUGGCAAUUGGAAUGAUAUUAACUCCUAUUUAUUUAUUAUCUAUGUUACGCCAGAUCUUCAAUGGAUACAAGCUAUUUAAUGUUCCAAACGCAAAUUUUGUGGAUUCUGGACCACGAGAACUCUUUAUUUUAAUCUGUAUCUUUUUACCAGUAAUAGGAAUUGGUAUUUAUCCAGAUUUUGUUCUCUCCCUAUCCAUUGACAGGGUAGAGGCUCUCUUAUCCAAUUAUUAUCCUAAAUAG
rnacentral:rRNA from 1 species